CUAGUUGGUAAGGUAACGGCUUACCAAGGCAACGAUGGGUAGGGGUCCUGAGAGGGAGAUCCCCCACACUGGUACUGAGACACGGACCAGACUCCUACGGGAGGCAGCAGUGAGGAAUAUUGGACAAUGGGCGCAAGCCUGAUCCAGCCAUGCCGCGUGCAGGAUGAAGCAUCUAUGG
rnacentral:rRNA from 1 species